rnacentral:rRNA from 1 species
GAUGAACGCUGGCGGCGUGCCUAAUACAUGCAAGUCGAGCGAACAGACGAGGAGCUUGCUCCUCUGACGUUAGCGGCGGACGGGUGAGUAACACGUGGAUACCCUACCUAUAAGACUGGGAUAACUUCGGGAAACCGGAUCUAAUACCGGAUAAUAUAUUGAACCGCAUGGUUCAAUAGUGAAAGACGGUUUUGCUGUCACUUAUAGAUGGAUCCGCGCCGCAUUAGCUAGUUGGUAAGGUAACGGCUUACCAAGGCAACGAUGCGUAGCCGACCUGAGAGGGUGAUCGGCCACACUGGAACUGAGACACGGUCCAGACUCCUACGGGAGGCAGCAGUAGGGAAUCUUCCGCAAUGGGCGAAAGCCUGACGGAGCAACGCCGCGUGAGUGAUGAAGGUCUUCGGAUCGUAAGACUCUGUUAUUAGGGAAGAACAAAUGUGUAAGUAACUAUGCACGUCUUGACGGUACCUAAUCAGAAAGCCACGGCUAACUACGUG